rnacentral:tRNA from 1 species
GCAGUGGUGGUUUAGUGGUAGAAUUCCCACCUUCAUGUGUGAGGCCCGGGUUUGAUUCCUGGCCAAUACC